GCGGCCGUGGCGGAAUUGGUAGACGCGCUAGCUUGAGGUGCUAGUGGGGCAACUCGUGGAGGUUCGAGUCCUCUCGGCCGCA
rnacentral:tRNA from 1 species